GUAGCUCAGCUGGAUAGAGCAACUGCCUUCUAAGCAGUAGGUCGCAGGUUCGAAUCCUGCCGGGGUCGCCA
rnacentral:tRNA from 1 species